ACUUCCCUGAUGACCCAGGAGUGCAGUGGGACACGGAACGUGUGGCCAGCAUUCUCCUCCAGUACAUAGCAGUCAAUGGUAUCAACUUGGUGGUGACUUUCGAUGCUGGAGGAGUCAGUGGUCACAGCAAUCACAUUGCUUUGUACACCACUGUGAGGGCCCUGCAUUCAGAAGAGAAGUUCCCUAAAGG